AACGCACGAGACCUGCGGACCUGCGGAGGGAUCAUUAUCAAUUUACAGCGGACUUCGGUCCUGUCUGCACCCUUGUCUUUUGCGUACUAUAUGUUUCCUCGGUGGGCUUGCCUGCCGAUAGGACACUUAUAAACUCUUUUGUAAUUGCAAUCAGCGUCAGAAAACUAUAAUAGUUACAACUUUUAGCAACGGAUCUCU
rnacentral:misc_RNA from 1 species